GACGAACGCUGGCGGCGUGCCUAAUACAUGCAAGUAGAACGCUGAAGGAGGAGCUUGCUCUUCUGGAUGAGUUGCGAACGGGUGAGUAACGCGUAGGUAACCUGCCUGGUAGCGGGGGAUAACUAUUGGAAACGAUAGCUAAUACCGCAUAAGAGUAGAUGUUGCAUGACAUUUACUUAAAAGGUGCAAUUGCAUCACUACCAGAUGGACCUGCGUUGUAUUAGCUAGUUGGUGGGGUAACGGCUUACCAAGGCGACGAUACAUAGCCGACCUGAGAGGGUGAUCGGCCACACUGGGACUGGGACACGGCCCAGACUCCUACGGGAGGCAGCAGUAGGGAAUCUUCGGCAAUGGACGGAAGUCUGACCGAGCAACGCCGCGUGAGUGAAGAAGGGUGUCGGAUCGGAAAGCUCUGUUGUAAGAGAAGAACGAGUGUGAGAGUGGAAAGUUCACACUGUGACGGUAUCUUACCAGAAAGGGACGGCUAACUACGUG
rnacentral:rRNA from 1 species